UACAGAGGGGGCAAGCGUUAUUCGGAAUUAUUGGGCGUAAAGAGCUCGUAGGCGGCCUGUUGCGUCCGCUGUGAAAUCCCGGGGCUCAACCCCGGGCCUGCAGUGGAUACGGGCUGGCUAGAGGCAGGCAGGGGAGAACGGAAUUCCUGGUGUAGCGGUGAAAUGCGCAGAUAUCAGGAGGAACACCGGUGGCGAAGGCGGUUCUCUGGGCCUGUACUGACGCUGAGGAGCGAAAGCGUGGGGAGCGAACAGG
rnacentral:rRNA from 1 species